UUAUAUGUAUCCAUUUCAAUAUCAGAGCCUGACAAACCAACCAACAGACAAAAAGCCUGCAAAGGAGUUGUCAGAAAAAGAGUGAAGAGACUACCACUCUGGUGACGAGAGGAUUCGGCUGCAGUGAGGGAAAUUGAACAGCUAGGAGAUAUGAGGAUUGCAGCUGGCUCUCCUUUCUCAGCUCCACUUAUAGCCUUGAAUGCGUCACUGACAUCACUGUCGAUAACUAUAAAUAGAGGCCUUCUUGUAAAUGGAACUAAAUCAGUAGGAUAAAUGCUGUUUAAUCCUCCAUUUCCACGAGAACCAAAAUACAGGCAGUCUCCUCUACUUCGCCUUGACGAUGGAUUUGAA
rnacentral:misc_RNA from 1 species